GUCUUCAGCCUCAUUUGGUGCUUAUUAGAUUGAUAUUCUAAGAGGAAUUGUACAACAUAAAACAUGUCCUUUAACAGGAUGAACUUUAUAUAAGACUUUAGGUACUGGAAGGUGCUAUAAGUUCUCCCAGGAGCCUUCCCUUCUCCAGCCUGAACAACUCCAACUUUCUCAACCAGUUUCCCCAGGAGAAGUUGAGCAGCUCUUCCAGAUUGAAGACUCCUUUUCAUCUGGUGAACUGGUGCCAGGAAGAAAAGACAGCAGAGCAACAAAUUCUCAGCUGUUGUAACUGUCUCCUGUUCUGAUAUUGCCAUUUCCUAGUUUCAUUUUCUAGGCCUGUUCAAAAGGGAGUUGUCAUCACUGCCAUUUGAGAAUGCUGUCUGGAACCUACAACGAUUCUGUGUGCAAAAAAAGUGAAACAAAGGAAUAAUCUGAGCAGAUUUAGUGGUCACGUUGAAGUGGUGUAACUUCUCAAAUCUAAAGCUUGGCCAAAUGGCAGAUGUUUCUUUACAAGUGGGCACAGAAGGCAUUUUCUCAACACACAGCCCAUAUUGAAAAAUAAGAAAAAUUGCAAUGAUUGGUGUUUUGCAGUUUCAUCCCUUUCAUCAUUUUUCUCCCUUGUCUCAGCAAACUCAGCAUUAAUUUCUUCCUGUCUUUCUGAGUGGUCCUAGCCACUAGGAAGAGUAGCCAAGUUAAAAUAAAAAGAUGAAGCCAGAAGUAAGAGCAUGUGCCUGUGUAUCAGUAGGGGCUCUCAUCCCACCUUACCUGUACAGGGUCAGAUGCUCUCAGCUACACCCAUUUAGGACACUGUAGAGACAUGUGGGUAUUUUGUUAUUUCCCAGAUCAUUGUUAUUCUCAGCUCACAUG